rnacentral:SRP_RNA from 1 species
GGACAAGUCCUGUACGACCAGCUCCCGCUGAAUCCCCCAGGGCCGGAAGGCAGCAAGGGUAGGUGGUUGUAGCGGUGCGCUGCAGGUCGCUUGUCCCA